rnacentral:rRNA from 1 species
UACGUAGGGGGCAAGCGUUGUCCGGAUUCAUUGGGCGUAAAGAGCUCGUAGGCGGUUCGGUAAGUCGGGUGUCGAAAUCUCCGUGCUACAACGACGGAGCGGCCACCUGAUACUGCCGUGACUCGAGUCCGGUAGGGGAGUGUGGAAUUCCCGGUGUAGCGGUGAAAUGCGCAGAUAGUCGGGAGGAACACCAGUAGCGAAGGCGGCACUCUGGGCCGUGACUGACGCUGAGGAGCGAA